rnacentral:rRNA from 1 species
GUCUAUGUCCAUGCUAUACUGAACAAGCCCGAUCCCGUCUGAUCUUGGAAGCUAAGCAGGGUCGGGCCUGGUUAGUACUUGGAUGGGAGACCAUCUAGGAAGACCAGGUGCUGUAGGUA